rnacentral:rRNA from 1 species
UACGGAGGGAGCUAGCGUUGUUCGGAUAUACUGGGCGUAAAGCGCACGUAGGCGGCGCCGUAAGUCAGGGGUGAAAUCCCGGAGCUCAACUCCGGAACUGCCCUUGAAACUGCAGUGCUAGAAUUCUGGAGAGGCGAGUGGAAUUCCGAGUGUAGAGGUGAAAUUCGUAGAUAUUCGGAAGAACACCAGUGGCGAAGGCGACUUACUGGACAUCUGUUGACGCUGAGGUGCGAAAGCGUGGGGAGCAAACAGG